UGUUUAUUGAAUAUAAAGAAAAGACGAACAGCUCAGUAACUCUUAUUUUAUUUGAUGUAUUAGGAUUAUAACUAUGUUAAAUUAUAGAUAACAAUAAUACAAUAAGAAUAAGAUCUAUCAGUUAGUUGUUAAGGUAAUGGCUUAACAAGACUAUGACGGAUAACGGUAUUACUUUGUAAUAUUCCGGAGAAGGAGCCUGAGAGAUUGCUACUAAGUCUAAGGAUUGCAGCAGGGGCGAAACUUGACCUAUGAUAUGAUAUUGAGGCAGUUAUGAGUAGUAUUUUUAAUUAUUGUAGUAUUGUAAGUAUAUACUACAAGAUAAAUCGGAGGGCAAAUCGAGUGCCAGCAGCCGCGGUAAUACUUGUUCCGAUAGUGUGUAUGAUGAUUGAUGCAGUUAAAAAGUCUGUAGUUUAUUAUUAAUAAGCAUUGUGAGGUAUAUUGUAUGGUUAGGAGAGAGAUGAAAUGUGAUAACCCUAACUGGAUGAACAGAAGCGAAAGCUAUAUACUUAAAUGUUUUAUUAGAACAAGGACGUAAGCUAGAGGAUCGAAGAUGAUUAGAUACCAUUGUAGUUCUAGCAGUAAACUAUGUUAAAUCAUAGAUACAUUAUUAAUAUGUAUUUAUGUAAAGAAAUUAAGAUUAUAUUGACUCUGGGGAUAGUAUGAUCGCAAGAUUGAAAAUUAAAGAAAUUGACGGAAGAAUACCACAAGGAGUGGA
rnacentral:rRNA from 1 species